ACGCUAAUUUCGCCCAAACUCAUUUUUCGAUGAAAAGUUUUAACACUUGCAAGAGGUGGUUUUUCAGGCGUAGUUAAAAUGGUAAAUCGCACAAAACUGUAACAGAAAGACCUUUGAGUUCAACUAGAGUCACAUGACCAAAACAAACAGAUGCUGACGAAUGUUAGAACAAGAGAAGAAGAAGGGUUUGAACCAGUUG